GACGAGGGGUCCUAGCGUUGUUCGGAAUCAUUGGGCGUAAAGCGUGUGUAGGUGGCUUUGUAAGUCAGGUGUGAAAGCCCCGGGCUCAACCCGGGAAGUGCAUUUGAUACUGCGAAGCUUGAAUACUGGAUAGGGCAGUAGAAUUCCUGGUGUAGUGGUGAAAUACGUAGAUAUCAGGAGGAAUACCGGUGGCGAAGGCGGCUGCCUGGCCAUGUAUUGACGCUGAGACACGAAAGCGUGGGGAUCAAACAGG
rnacentral:rRNA from 1 species